rnacentral:rRNA from 1 species
UACGUAGGGGGCGAGCGUUGUCCGGAAUCAUUGGGCGUAAAGGGCGCGUAGGCGGGAAUACAAGUCUGUUUUUAAAGUUCAGGGCUCAACCCUGUGAUGGAAUGGAAACUGUAUUUCUUGAGGGCAGGAGAGGAAAGUGGAAUUCCUAGUGUAGCGGUGAAAUGCGUAGAUAUUAGGAGGAACACCAGUGGCGAAGGCGGCUUUCUGGACUGCAACUGACGCUGAGGCGCGAAAGCUAGGGGAGCGAACA